CUAAUACAUGCAAGUAGAACGCUGAAGAGAGGAGCUUGCUCUUCUUGGAUGAGUUGCGAACGGGUGAGUAACGCGUAGGUAACCUGCCUUGUAGCGGGGGAUAACUAUUGGAAACGAUAGCUAAUACCGCAUAACAAUGGAUGACACAUGUCAUUUAUUUGAAAGGGGCAAUUGCUCCACUACAAGAUGGACCUGCGUUGUAUUAGCUAGUAGGUGAGGUAAUGGCUCACCUAGGCGACGAUACAUAGCCGACCUGAGAGGGUGAUCGGCCACACUGGGACUGAGACACGGCCCAGACUCCUACGGGAGGCAGCAGUAGGGAAUCUUCGGCAAUGGGGGCAACCCUGACCGAGCAACGCCGCGUGAGUGAAGAAGGUUUUCGGAUCGUAAAGCUCUGUUGUAAGUCAAGAACGGGUGUGAGAGUGGAAAGUUCACACUGUGACGGUAGCUUACCAGAAAGGGACGGCUAACUACGUGCCAGCAGCCGCGGUAAUACGUAGGUCCCGAGCGUUGUCCGGAUUUAUUGGGCGUAAAGCGAGCGCAGGCGGUUUGAUAAGUCUGAAGUUAAAGGCUGUGGCUCAACCAUAGUUCGCUUUGGAAACUGUCAAACUUGAGUGCAGAAGGGGAGAGUGGAAUUCCAUGUGUAGCGGUGAAAUGCGUAGAUAUAUGGAGGAACACCGGUGGCGAAAGCGGCUCUCUGGUCUGUAACUGACGCUGAGGCUCGAAAGCGUGGGGAGCGAACAGGAUUAGAUACCCUGGUAGUCCACGCCGUAAACGAUGAGUGCUAGGUGUUGGAUCCUUUCCGGG
rnacentral:rRNA from 1 species